UCCAACUCCAUGACUCACAAUGUUGCGAUUGUCUUACCAGCUUUGGGAAGCACUAAUUUCCUUUCGAUCUCCAUGCAUUUCAUCCCCAAGCAGCCUUGCUUCUUAGAUUAUAUGAAUGUCCAACCAUGAAAGAGAAAGGUCGAGAGAGGUAUACCUUUGACAAUCAAUAUAAAUCCAUAACAAGCCAAAUAAUUCAAUUUUAAUUUCAUCAUCACAAUAAUCACCCAAGCCUUAUCAUAACAAGCCAAAAUAAUUCAAUUUUAAUUUCAUCAUCACAAUAAUCACCCAAGCCUUAUCCCAACUAUUUAGGAUCGGCUAAAGGAAUCAUAUUUCACCAUUUUGUUCAUAAGAGCCACACCCUCAGUCAGAUAAUAACUAUCUCUUCUAAAAGAGACACUUACUUACCGGAGGACGCAGAUUCAUCUACUAUUUACUUAUCAAAAGGAAAGAGAUAUUCACUUAUUGAAGGGAGAGUUACUUCCGUCUAUGUCCUUUUACUCAUUUCUUUUUUCCUUUUAAGGCCUUCCAUUUGAAACAAAUUACCCCUUAUAACCAGUGUUGUUUUAGGUCGACACUGCACCUAGCCUGCCUACUUAAGUCUACUUCUUCUCAUCGUAUCGCCUAUUAGAGCUAACCCUAAGUUCUCUCGAAUGUAUUCAUUCUAAAUUUUAUCUUUUUUUUCUUGCUGCUCAUGCACCUCAAUUGCACUCAUUCUAUGGAUAUGUUGUUUGUUGACUGCUCAACUUUCGAUUCUAUAAAGCAUGGUUGAUGAAUUCAUUUCAGAUAAUUCUAUAUAUCAUAGGUUUUCAGUUCACAAUUUUGGAAGCCUUAUUAAAUUAUGGUCUUUAAUCAACAUUCUCCAUGAAUCACGAUGCCACAAAACUAUACCGGCUAGAGCUAGCACGUGUAUUAUUAUUGAACUUCAACCACUUAUUAUUAAGCUUCAAAUUCCACUUUCAUGUCUAAACUCUUUCUUACUCUAUCAUGAAGCUCUUUCUUACUCUAUCAUGAGCUUUCCUUUUCCUUCUGGUGUUAGGGGUAGUGUUGAAAUUUGUUUGAUGGUUUAAAAAUGGGUUAUAAGAGUAGGAAACAUGUAGCGUAUAUAUGCAAACAUUAGGCCUAUAUCCAUGAUCGAUCUUGAACUACGUUGAUUGAGAGGACUAGUAUGCAACUUGAUUAUCCUGCUUUUAGUGCCCGAGCUGUUCUAGUUAUUCUAAUAAAUUUUGCUUUAUUUUUCCAUAAUUGAGUGCUUGAUUGUUUCUAUGAAGGUUAUGAGAGGAAGCAUUCUAGCCGUCUCUUGCUAGGGAAGCCUUUAGGACCCAAAUACCAUUGAAACAAAAAGGGGUAGGGAUUUGAGCCCCUAUCCUUUUGGUGAGAAAGGAGCAAGAGAUUUCAUUAUAAGGCUCUUUGGUACUACCGCCAACUCUCUUUCUCAAAAAAGUAAUAGGGCAGUGGGGAUUUGGGCCUUACCUUUCGAUGAAAAUAGAGUCAAAGACCACUAUGGGGCUCAACAAUACUACGGCUAAGGUCCCAUGCCAUUCUCGAAGCAUGAUAAUGAAAGGGUUGAUAAAUCUAUUAUGGUAUGGCAUGUGUGAUUUGAUAAACAACAACUCAUUAGAUGGUUGGAUAGCACCAAAGAAAUAUGUUGGCUGUGGUUCUUGUAUCAAUCCAUUUCACCAUGGGUGUAAGAGAGUCACAUCUACUGGCCAUUAGGUCAACAAGUAUAUUAGAUGACACUGUUAAUUCUCAUCAAUACUAAUCCAUGUCGGUGACGUGGCAUGUUGUGCAUUGUAAUUCACAGUGUCCUACUUGCAUCGUAAAAAUAAUUUUGGGUAAUUCUAAUGCAAGAAAGAUUAUGUGCGAGUAUAAUUUGAAGUUAAACUCUCUAUUAUCAUUUUAGCUUAUAUAUAUAUAUAUAUAUAUAUAUGGGAAACGGUUUUUUUAGCUACUAGCUAUAAUGAAUAGUAUAAGCUACUGAUGUAGGGAGAAAAUAAUUAAAGUAAAAACAAAAACAAGUGUGAGAGAAUUUACACUUUCUCAAGGUCCACAAGGGCAUCC
rnacentral:lncRNA from 1 species